rnacentral:rRNA from 1 species
GACGAACGCUGGCGGCGUGCUUAACACAUGCAAGUCGAACGGUAAGGCCCUUCGGGGUACACGAGUGGCGAACGGGUGAGUAACACGUGGGUGAUCUGCCCUGCACUUCGGGAUAAGCCUGGGAAACUGGGUCUAAUACCGGAUAGGACUCCGGACUGCAUGGUCUGGGGUGGAAAGCUUUUGUGGUGUGGGAUGGGCCCGCGGCCUAUCAGCUUGUUGGUGGGGUGAUGGCCUACCAAGGCGACGACGGGUAGCCGGCCUGAGAGGGUGACCGGCCACACUGGGACUGAGAUACGGCCCAGACUCCUACGGGAGGCAGCAGUGGGGAAUAUUGCACAAUGGGCGCAAGCCUGAUGCAGCGACGCCGCGUGAGGGAUGACGGCCUUCGGGUUGUAAACCUCUUUCAGCAUCGACGAAGCGAAAGUGACGGUAGGUGCAGAAGAGGGACCGGCCAACUACGUGCCAGCAGCCGCCGUAA